AUGCACGCUGGCGGCGUGCCUAAUACAUGCAAGUCGAGCGAACAGACGAGGAGCUUGCUCCUCUGACGUUAGCGGCGGACGGGUGAGUAACACGUGGAUAACCUACCUAUAAGACUGGGAUAACUUCGGGAAACCGGGGCUAAUACCGGAUAAUAUAUUGAACCGCAUGGUUCAAUAGUGAAAGACGGUUUUGCUGUCACUUAUAGAUGGAUCCGCGCCGCAUUAGCUAGUUGGUAAGGUAACGGCUUACCAAGGCAACGAUGCGUAGCCGACCUGAGAGGGUGAUCGGCCACACUGGAACUGAGACACGGUCCAGACUCCUACGGGAGGCAGCAGUAGGGAAUCUUCCGCAAUGGGCGAAAGCCUGACGGAGCAACGCCGCGUGAGUGAUGAAGGUCUUCGGAUCGUAAAACUCUGUUAUUAGGGAAGAACAAAUGUGUAAGUAACUAUGCACGUCUUGACGGUACCUAAUCAGAAAGCCACGGCUAACUACGUG
rnacentral:rRNA from 1 species